GAGCUGGGGGGGUGUCACGUGAACCCUCCGGGGACGGGCUUAUCCAAUCACGUGGCUGGUACUUUGUAAAUGCUCCGUAAGGCGCGUUAUUUGUUACCCCUCAGUUUUGUGUAUUUUCUCACAAUUGGUCUUGUUUUGAAAGACCAGAGUUCUACCAAACUGUUACAGAGAUAUGUCUUCAUCGUUGGAGAGAAAUUCUUGUGACCAGUUUGAUGUCAACAACCGAGCAGUGCAGUAACUGUAGGAGUCAGAGAGUGGAGGUUUCAAUGCAGACCCUGGGAUUGGAUUCAGAUACUUUCAUGACACUAGGAAAUGUCUGAGACAAAUUCUGCAAAGCCAAUGCUGGGUUAUAAUAGAUUUAGCUCCAUUUGUACUUGUGAAUGUAAGUUUCAUAUGUGUCCUAGUGUAAACAUGACAGUUCACUGCUGUGUCCCAGAUAUCUACUAGUAAUGUUCCCACUCCUAUAGUUUAGCAUUUUACCAUUUCCAGUGGUCAUAAGUUAAAAUAUGUUGACUCCCAGUAUUUCAAAUGCAAGUUAUACAAGUUUAUAUUCUACAAUCUUCGGGUUAGGCAAAGUCAUUCUCUUGUUGAAAAGAAUUUCUCCAACUCCAAUUUCUUCUUAUAUUCAAGUUUUUAUUAUCAUUGAAUAUCACACAAGACAAAAAGCGUUGUAGCUUAUAACAUAAGAUAUGUUGACUAUUAGUAUUUCAAAUACAUAUUUCUUGCAACUUCAUGCGUCCAACACUCGCUGUCAACAAAUAUAACUAAACGUUAAAGAUACAAUGUACAUGAAAUUUUUUCCAUCAUCUUCUUUCAUAGAUGUGUUAUAAUUGGCUCUUUGCACAAAGUUAAAAGGUAAAGCAGGAUUCUGCGCAGAAGCGCAAACUACAAUCCACUAUACAUGUCAUCUUUAGCCGAUACUGCACUACAAGCUAUAUACUCCCAUCACAAAACUGCUGUCUAUUUCACAAUGUGAUCAAGGCAUACAGGAAUACAUAAUGGUGAACUGUUUUAAGAAAUGGACUUUUGGCAAACCUGUAUCACUCGAUGAAUGUGAACAAUAUACAAAAUAUACAUAUGAUCUGUAUGCAAUCUACAGCUACAGUCUUCCUGAAGCUACAUUCUGUACAGCCAAAGUCCAUUAGAACCUCUACACAACAAUCCUUGAAGAAGCAUAUAAUAACCUGACUUGACUAUAGCAAAGUUCAUAGAACACACACAUGAUCACAACUUACUUCAGGGCAAAUCACACAGGUAAGUACAAUACUGGACAAUUGUUCAUUCGUGUAUUUAAUAUCUAUGCUUGGAAUGAGUAUUAGGACCUAAGGGCAACAUGAAGACAUUAAAGACUAUUAUACAUAUUCAUUUCCAAGCAAUGACACCAUCUACUCAGUUCUGCAUAGAUACAAGACAACAACAUUUAAAAUACAGGUAAUCUUCAAUGCAGAGACUGAGUGCUGUGCAACAUUACAUCAAAUGGUACAUAAUACAGUGGAUUAAUCCUCCUUCACUGUCAAUUCAGUCAACCCGAAAAAUCCUAAAUUGUUUCAGCAGUUUUUGGUAACAUGCACACAACAUACUUGUCUACAAAAAGUACAAUGUACCACCAAGUAUGAAGUAAGCAGAUGCUUAGAUAGGUUUGCUCAUGCCCAGCAGGGCUGGCAAGUAACAUACAUGUAUCUGUUUUAUCAGUUAUUUCAGAAAGACUUAUUCAGUGAAUGUAUGUGAUGAAAUAAACUCUUGAUGUUCA